AAAACACGUCACACUUGGAAGUCCCUAUUGUGCAGGGAAAUGGGUGCGCCAACUAUACAAGUCCGGUUGAGGGUAAUAUCUCAAAAGAACUGAAGCCUAUGUGUUUCCAGCAAAGCAUACAGCAGCCCAGUUGUGAGAAAGUUACUGAAUUGUCAUCCUUCUUGGACGAUGGAGUUUUGGAAUAUUAGACAGAAGGUUUUGACAUAGUCGAUUCCAACGAAAGUAUUACCCAGGCAUCAAAUGGGCCAUAUUCAAUUGCUAAAGAUUUUCAAUCAACUUGGGGAAUCUAUGCUUUCUCAAUGCAACCAUCCAUGCC
rnacentral:lncRNA from 1 species